rnacentral:rRNA from 1 species
UACGUAGGAGACGAGCGUUGUCCGGAAUUACUGGGCGUAAAGCGCGUGUAGGCGGAUGAGCAAGUCUGCUGUGAAAGCUCCUGGCUUAACCGGGAGUGGUCGGUGGAAACUGCUCGGUCUGGAGGACGGUAGAGGUAGGUAGAAUUCCCGGUGUAGUGGUGAAAUGCGUAGAGAUCGGGAGGAAUACCUGUGGCGAAGGCGGCCUACUGGGCCGGACCUGACGCUGAGACGCGAAGGCGUGGGGGAGCGAACGGG